GGCCAGUUCAAGUUGUCAACAAUGUGCCACAACAAAAAGACGGGAUUUCAUGUGGACUCUAUGCGCUCAAGAACAUGGCAAACUGGAUAGGACACGAGCUAUCACAAAAUUUUACACAGGCCGACAUUGACAAGUUCAGGAAAGAACUCCCAGCUCUCAUAGUAGAUUCUCCACU